rnacentral:rRNA from 1 species
UGCAGUCGAGCGGUAACAGGAAAUUAGCUUGCUAAUUUUGCUGACGAGCGGCGGACGGGUGAGUAACGCGUAGGAAUCUGCCUAGUAGAGGGGGACAACAUGUGGAAACGCAUGCUAAUACCGCAUACGCCCUUAGGGGGAAAGGAGGGGACUUUUCGGAGCCUUCCGCUAUUAGAUGAGCCUGCGUGAGAUUAGCUAGUUGGUGGGGUAAAGGCCUACCAAGGCGACGAUCUCUAGCUGGUCUGAGAGGAUGACAGUCACACUGGGACUGAGACACGGCCCAGACUCCUACGGGAGGCAGCAGUGGGGAAUAUUGGACAAUGGGGGCAACCCUGAUCCAGCCAUGCCGCGUGUGUGAAGAAGGCCUUAGGGUUGUAAAGCACUUUCAGAGGUGAGGAAGGGUGCGUAGUUAAUACCUACGUAUUUUGACGUUAGCCUCAGAAGAAGCACCGGCUAACUCUGUGCCAGCAGCCGCGGUAAUACAGAGGGUGCAAGCGUUAAUCGGAAUUACUGGGCGUAAAGCGCGCGUAGGUGGUUUGUUAAGUCGGAUGUGAAAUCCCAGGGCUCAACCUUGGAAUGGCACCC